rnacentral:lncRNA from 1 species
CCUUGGUGGGGGGCGUGGGCGAAUUGGUGGGGGGCGUGGGCGAAUUUCGUCCGCGGGACUCGGAAUGGCACCAGACUUGGCGGGCGGCCUCCGUGUGCCAAAAAUAGGCCACGGGCACAGCCGCGCCCAAAAAACAGCCCCCGAAGUUCGGGGUCCCAAGACCCCCCAGUGGAAAAAUGGCCAAAAAACGGGUGGGCUAUAGCCUUGGUGGGGGGCGUGGGCGAAGUUCGUCCGCGGGACUCGGAAUGGCACCAGACUGGGCGGGCGGCCUCCGUGUGCCAAAAAUAGGCCACGGGCACAGCCGCGCCCAAAAAACAGACCCCGAAGUUCGGGGUCCCAAGACCCCCCAGCGGAAAAAUGGCCAAAAAACGGUGGGCUAUAGCCUUGGUGGGGUGCGUGGGCGAAGUUCGUCCGCGGGACUCGGAAUGGCACCAGACUUGGCGGGCGGCCUCCGUGUGCCAAAAAUAGGCCACGGGCACAGCCGCGCCCAAAAAACAGCCCCCGAAGUUCGGGGUCCCAAGACCCCCCAGCGGAAAAAUGGCCAAAAAACGGGUGGGCUAUAGCCUUGGUGGGGGGCGUGGGCGAAGUUCGUCCGCGGGACUCGGAAUGGCACCAGACUUGGCGGGCGGCCUCCGUGUGCCAAAAAUAGGCCACGGGCACAGCCGCGCCCAAAAAACAGCCCCCGAAGUUCGGGGUCCCAAGACCCCCCAGCGGAAAAAUGGCCAAAAAACGGGUGGGCUAUAGCCUUGGUGGGGGGCGUGGGCGAAGUUCGUCCGCGGGACUCGGAAUGGCACCAGACUUGGCGGGUGGCCUCCGUGUGCCAAAAAUAGGCCACGUGCACAGCCGCGCCCAAAAAACAGCCCCCGAAGUUCGGGGUCCCAAGACCCCCCAGCGGAAAAAUGGCCAAAAAACGGUGGGCUAUAGCCUUGGUGGGGGGCGUGGGCGAAGUUCGUCCGCGGGAUUCGGAAUGGCACCAGACUUGGCGGGCGGCCUCCGUGUGCCAAAAAUAGGCCGCGGGCACAGCCGCGCCCAAAAAACAACCCCCGAAGUUCGGGGUCCAAAGACCCCCCAGCGGAAAAAUGGCCAAAAAACGGGUGGGCUAUAGCCUUGGUGGGGGGCGUGGGCGAAGUUCGUCCGCGGGACUCGGAAUGGCACCAGACUUGGCGGGCGGCCUCCGUGUGCCAAAAAUAGGCCACGGGCACAGCCGCGCCCAAAAAUCAGCCCCCGAAGGUCGGGGUGCCAGGACCCCGCAGCGGA